GAGUCCAGUCCAGUCCGCGUGCGUCUGGACUCGGCAAGGCUCGGCGCGGCGGCCUUUUGCGCGGUCCAGAACGGCCCCGGCCGCCAGCGACUGGAUCCCCGCCGGCGCCUUCGCCGGAUUCACAGCCACGCAGGGCGCGCCGGAGCCGCGCUCGCGGAGGAGUGGCGCAACGCCGCCACCCUCCACGACCCAGCGCGCGCGACGCGAGACUCCCGCGCCGCAGUUCAGGAGUGCGAUCCGUGUCGGACCAGCUUCGUUCCGCGGAAUCCACGCAGUUCGAGCGCGACCCCGCCUUCAAUCGGGCUGCUCCCGGAGCCGCCGCUCGUCGCCUGCGGCGGCAGCACGAAGGGGGGGGGGGGGGCGCUCGGCGGCCGCGGCCAUCGUGAGCUGAGAGGAUGCUACGGCUGCUGCGGCGAGUGUGGUACGUUAAAGGCAGGAGCACUGCCAUGUCAUAUAAGGAGCACUGCCAUGUCCUUGCCUUCAAGCCUUCAACCAUAUUCUGACCAUAUUGUAAGAUGAUAUCCACCUCAACAUUUCAAGAGACAUGACUGGCAUUUUGACCAUCAUCUUCCCGUUCAGAGUUGUCAACGCCUUUGACUUGGUGACCAUGUUUACCUGUCCCAUAUCACGACAGAGAAAGGCUCAAGAAGAGUCCAAGACUAACCUACAACCGUCCCAUAGCUUGUCUCAUAUGAAUGAACACAGAGCCUUGCAAUUCUCAUUGGUACAAUGGUACAUGUUAUUUUCACCUAUCAUUGUCAGCACCCACCAACCUAUUCGGGUUGCUAGUGGGCAACCUUCACGCUUGAUAUCUUUCAAAUUGAGCGUGAGCAAGCUGUCUGUCCUUGCCUUCAAGCUUCUAUCUUAUAUUAUUCUAGUGGUUGACACAUUUCAGUGAAGGUCAACUUGGAGUAAACAAAGGGUACUCCUUUACCGGCCUGCCAUUAGGUGCACCGUACACAGAACCUCCUGACCCUCUUUUCCUCCUCUAUUAGAAUAUAUGCUGCGCGUGCUUAAUGCUGCCUAUCCCUGUUUUGUCUCUCUAACUUUCCUAAAGGUGAAGGGUCCUUAUGUAGUCAUUCAUGCACAUAUAAUAUUACCACUUGCGGAGCUUUAUUAGCAGGCGUGAUGGACCUGAAGUAGUUACUUGUCUUCAUAACCAUAUUGUAAAUGUAGAUAGGGUAGGGAGGCUGAUUCUUCCUGUCUCCUGUCAAAGUUCAAGUUGAAAACUUUCCACCCCACUUUGGUUGACAUCUCACCCCGCAAUCACCAAUUGACAAUGUUAACUUUGAGCCUUGGAAGGAAAAUUCUCAUGUCCAUGCUUUUCUCAGUAAACUAGACAGAGUGCAGAAUGAGUGUCCUGCACCACGAAUGGAGACACCUUGGCGGUAUUGCAAACACAAUGUUGUCCAAAGUUUAUCCCCUGCUAAACGAGAACACGUUGAAAAGUUGCUACUGUCCCUUUCACGACAUUCCUUUAGGUCGAGGAGAAAGCCAAAUACAGGUAGCUGACCCCAGCAGACAAUUAGAUUACUGAGUAUUAUUGGUGCACGCCUCCCCGUCCUCUAUUUCAAUUAUUAAAAGUGCCAAUAUUUAUGGGUCAGAUCAGGGCGGUGAUCAGUGAUGAGUUUUGUAAGGAUUUUCUAGUUCAAGUGGAUGUCACCGUAAUUUUUGGUAGGAAGCCACCACUCUUGCAAGUCUAAAAUUCCUAAAGAAAAGGUACUGUAUUUUUUUU